rnacentral:rRNA from 1 species
AUGCGCGAUUUACGCGUUAUGCGGUUCCCGCUCGCCCCUGUGGUUUGCUUGUCAGUGACGCUGCAGGUGGGGCUGUCUUCUCCUUGGUCCCGUGCGUCAUUGUCCUGCCUCUUACUUUUUUGUGUGCGCGUGGCCUCCCGCGUCUGCAACCCUCUCCUUCCCGACACGGCAGAAACAAGGAUGCCGAGGCCGUUCAGGAGGCUCACUGAUGGAGUAUGCCUAAUCUCAGUUUAUUGCAUGGUGUUGUCUGUGUGCUGCUGCAGGGGGACUUUGGAUGGUGGUCUUGAUAUUCCGCACAGUGACAAGAGAUUUGCUGGCUUCAAGAAGAAUGAGAAGUAG